ensembl:lincRNA
AAUCUGGGCAGCUCUGACUCUAUCCUAUGCAUUGUGAUGUUGGGGGAAGAUUUAAACUAUCAAAAUCCUAAAAUCAUUAUCCCAGAAAGGUAAACCUGGGGUGAAGUGUGACGGUGAAUCUCUUUAACUUGUAGACAUUUCAAGACACCUUAAUCCAUAUUUUCUUAAUCCCCAUAGUUUUCUUUCUCCUGGAAGCUAGGACUAAAGGAGACACUCUCCUGGAAGAGUACCCGGAGAGCGAAGGGGUUGAGCAGGUACGAAGGGAAGAAUUCGGGCCUGGCCAGGGAUGCUCCUGGUCUCUGCCUCCGGCGGGGAAAGCCCGGCGGAGCCAGACCGAGGCAGGAGGCAGGUUUCCAGCCGGAGCUGAGCCCGCUUCUUCCAAAGCCCUGUGGCUGCGCGCCCCUGACACUGCCUGAGUCUGGUCGGGGGCAGGUGCGGCGGGGGUGUCCCCGAAGGAGAAGGGGGCGGAGGGCAAAGGUCAAAGCCAAGCUUCCGGCGGGCCGGGGAGCCCACACCCGGGCAGGAGGGAGGGGUUAGGGCCGGCCGGGGCCGAAUUGGGCCCCCAGGGCGGAAUCGCGCCGUGGAGAGCAAAGCCUCUGUCAUCUAAUCGAGAACCAGAUUAAGAGCCGAGGAGGGAAAAAAGGCAAGAAGGCAUUCUUCAGAUUGGAGGAAUCUAAAUCAACACCCAUCUCCUUGCCAGUGGCCAAGGACACUGGUUCUUUUCAAGGCAUGUUUCUACCUCUGGACCACCUCAGCCCUUGGAUUUAUGCGGUCACUAGAAAGGUCUAGAAAGUCAAAGGUCAGGAAGAGGCAUCCUGCGUCUGGUGAGGGACUAGCCUGUUCAGAGCCCUCCAUGGGGACAAGAACACAAUGGUCAACAGGUGCUCCCUGGGGAACGUCGAUUUCCAGACUUCUCUGCUGCACCCCGAACCCCAACCGGUUCCCGGCCCCAAACCAAGGCGCGAAGAGGGUGGGAAGAUGCCGUCUACGCCGAGCCGGCCGGAACCCGGCGGCCACGCUGCGCUCCGCUGCCCGGAGGCGGCCGAACCCGGUCUCGGGGUGCCCAGACUGGCGCUCACGGCUCCCCGCUGCUCCGAGGGCCGGGGGGCGUGAACUGAGGCUCCCCGGUGCCCUCCGCUUGUCCCUGGUUUCAGCCAAGUCUCCUCGCGAUGGGUGUGGGCAAUUAAUAAACUCUAUGGGAAGUGAAUUGGACAUUUCCUGGCUUUUGAGCCUUUGUCUGAUUGUUUCGGCAGGCGGGGGUAGGGGGGUGGGGAGCAGGGGGUACGCUGGGGACGGGGAGGUAGACAAGAAAGGAGCUGGGGGACCCACUGAGCUGGCCUUUAUUGCCUUUGCAGUUGCUUUAUGGCUUGCCCGUCCCGCGUGGUUUCCGCAAGGGCGGCCUCCUUGCAGAAGGGCUGGGUGCCCAGCGGUUUGGAGCACUUUGGGCCAUCUGGGCUGCGCCAGAGGCAGGUUCAAGGGCGGAGAGGGUGGUCGGAGCCCCUCGAGGGGUCAGAGGACUUAUGUAGCCCAGCCCAAGGGCUCCCCAGUGGGUGCUCAACUGGGAGGAGGGUUUAUUAGCAGGCUGUGGCGGCGGGGGGGUGGGGACCUCUCAAAAGCUGGGGCGAGGGGAGCACGAGGACCCGCAACACUGCGUUUCAGCUGAGCUCUGUCGUGGCCUGAAGUGAUGAAGACUUCGGAUUCAAGGGCUUUACCCGAAUCAAGCUCUCCAGGCCACUAGGCAGUGAGGUAUCCGGCCCCUUGCCCUGCUCGCACUUGGCGGGUACCAGUUGCCCAGCCCCCAGUCCUCACCGCUGGCGACCUGACUUGGUGGGACCUGCGACCCGGCCCUGGGGCCUUGGGUGCCAGGAAGCAACACUCAGGUCUCAGUUCUAAGAGUUUCUCCGAGGGUUCCCUCCGUUUCUUGUCCUUCUGAGCCUCAGCUGAAUCCUCAGACUCCUUGGACAUGUGUGAGGCUGAGAGUAGCCAAAUACGUGCUUCUUUGAUCUCUGUCCCAUGAACAUGGACUUCACGAGGAUUCAAAACCAAACCAAAAAACCCAGAGGCCAGGGCUGUGAAGCCAUCACUACAACCUUGGCGUUUGUUUAUUCAUUUGUUUUGGAUACUCAAGAACUGGACUCAUCCCAUUUACGCCUGACCUUAGUACUAAAAGCCUUAAAAAAUUCUGCCUCUCUUCACUUCCCCACUUUGGAAAAAAUCAGUAAGAUUGACCUGUCAUCAAAUAUUAUCAUUUGGUUAUCAUUUGUUAUCCUCAGGGGUGAGCGUUGUUGAAUGGCCUUUGACCCACAUUUAACCAUUAAGAUUGGUAAGUUCUUUCAAAAUCCCUAGUUGUCAUCUUUUAAAAUAUGUUUAGAAGGUCUAACCAGUAAGCAGAAACCCCCUUACCUGUGUUCACAGUUCCUAUAACCACCCAGUACUUCUUUAUGUUGGCUCCAAGAUGUAUUUCUCCUCCCCCUCACGCUUUACUCUUUAGAAUGUUUUUGGAUGAGGAAUAAAGGAGAAGCAGAAGUUCUUUUAUUUCUAAUCUCAAAUUUUGUGAGUAGUUUCCCCUCACUCCAUACCCCUUCCAAUAUCUAUACUUCAAUAUUUGAAGAAGCUGUUGAGAUAAAUCAAAUAGUGACACGUUGACGGAUUUACUUGUGUAAGCAAUAUGGUUGACAUAUGGCAUUGUUAUUUAUGAAUGACAGCAUAAAUUGUAUUACAAAGUCUAUUGCAAUAACACUGCAGUUUAUUGGAAAGCUGCUCGCCUGUCACCGGUAUUCAGCCUCUCUGGCUGUAGUUUGCCUGGGAGCCCAAAGGAUAACUGCCCUCAAAAUAAUCAAACACAUUGAUGUAAGUCACUGCCUUCUGUUUUGGGCGGUUGGUUUUGUUUUUGUUUUACAGCAGUAGAAACUCUCCCAUCAGGAAAGGAGACAAAGUAAAGAUAGUUAGUUCUCUCAUUUUGCAAAAGCACAACCACUGUCACCCAGAAAUGUUGGAUUCCUUUUCUUUUUUCCUUUUCUGAGUCCCUAAUGACAAAUAGACAAACAUUUGCAUCUCUAUCACUAAACUACUGGUGAACAUAUAUUUUAUAGAGAGACUUUUUAUAAGCCUGGUUACAGAACAGUAAAUUUUAACUGUAGAAAAAAGUUCUUUGAGCAGGCUAGAGAGGGCCUUAUGCCCUGAUACUCUCCGCUUCCACUAAAUCUCCCCCUUCUUAAAAAUGGUAUUUAAAAGUUACAACAUUGGCUGAGAUUUUCACAAUUUCCCCUUCUUUUACAUUACACUUCUCUAAACCUCGGACAAAGCUCUUUUAUUCUAGGUGGUUUUACAGGGGAGGGGGGUCCCCCACCACACAUGUGGUCCUUCAUGGGUCAGGGGUCACCCAGCCCAGGAGGGACUGAGAGGCUGAAUCAAAGGUGACCUGCAACUUAAUAUCCUGUUGAUGAUCUUGUUGAAUUUAUGAGUGUCUGUGAUACAGAGGACAGUGCUGAAAUCCUGUGAAAUUCCCCCCCCCCUUUUUUGGGCCCGGUAUAUAUGGACAGUCGAUUCCACAUUUUUUCUCCCAUCUCUUCCUCCAUUUCCAUCUUUUCCCUUAAGAGGAAAAUUAGAAGGUUGAGUGGUGUGUUCACCCAGUGUUUCUGCUUUCCAGUAUAAAGAUCCCUUUUGUCUGCUUGUUUGCUUUUGGCUUCUCCUGGCCAACAAAAUAUACCUGAGCAUGUGAGUACCCUGUGUGUGCCUCACAUUGUUUGUAGGCAUAUGUACACAAAAUACUCAGCAUACUACAAGAGAAGCCAGUCACCCGUUUACAGAGGCCCACAAACCGCAAUGAGGUGUUCAGUGAAUGAGUGCCCGGGUGUUUGAUGGGAUUUACUGGUGUUCUUGUGUUUUUUCUUUUUGAAGACAAUCCGAAUUCUCUACUACACUGCCAUUCUCUCCACUUGUGGGGGAAAGGGUCACCAGCCCUGGGAUCAUCCAUAUACAGAGAAGCCUGGAGUCUCGCUGGCCUAGCCCUGCGCUGGCCCCAGGACAUCUGAAAAGCCCAAUUUUGGAAAACUUACAAAGAGAGCAAACAUUUGCCCGAUGGAGAUGGCUGGGGGUCCCCAGGUUCUGACACCAACACGGCGGGCCCUUCUAGAAACCUGUUGAAAAACUGAAUUUCACUCCCAGGGCUAGGAAGUCGGCUGGCUUUUUUUCCUUCGGCCAAGGACCUCAAAUGUACUUUUGAGGCAAUGACUCUGAAAGCUUUGCAGGUAUUUUUUCUUCCUCUCUCUCUGUCCCUUGCUUUCUUGAUCUCUCCCUCUUCCCCCUCACCUUCCCUUAAAAAAAAAAAAAAGUCUUGAAGCGAAGAGGUUUUGCGGUUUGUGGAGAAAUAAAGCACUUCUAAGAGGAGACGGCGACGUGACUUUGAACUUGGCUCAGCUCCUGCGUGUCCUGCAGAGAGAAAGAGAGAGAGAGAGAGAGGUGAACUGGAGCCGAGAACGGAGAGCCAAGAGCGCCCAGGCCGCGGGGUCCCCUGCGGGGAUCAGCCGUCCGUCCCACCACCCGGCCGCGCGGCCCCGCGAUCCUGGGCCCGCGAGCGCCCAGCGGCUUCGGCCCGCAACGGGCGCUGCGAAGGGGCAAUCCAAGCGAAAGGAGAGAACGGGGCGGGGAGGAGGGGACAGAGGAGGGCGGCGGGGGCGAGUCCGUGGGAAGGAAGGAAAACUUGGAGAAGUCUGAUGGUUUGGAAGAAGGAAGAAGAGUGAGGUUUGCGGACGUGCAGGAUUGUUAUUCUCACGACCAUUAUUUCUAAGAAAAUAUUUUCUUUGGGAAAUACUUUCGGGGUAAGCUUUGCCAAUUCUUCUCCCCCCUCCCACCCCCCCAUACAAAUUGAUGAACACAAGAAACAAGUGUGACAGGCUGUGCAUUGGGCAGAUUCACUGUAUCAGGGCAGCCUUUCUGCCUGGCGUAUUUCUGUCUCUGUCUCUCUCUCCCUGGUCCCUUUUUGCCUCGAGGGGCAGUUUGGCAUUUGCCUUCCCCUCCCCCCCGACAGAAGGAGAGGUGUGCCCAGAGGAGGAACAUUUCCUUCUUUCAGAAAAGUCGUGAAGUCCUAGCUACCGAGCAAAAUCCCGGGCUUUCAGACAAGAUGCCCGGGCCUUCCUCCUCCUUGCCCCCAGCCCCGGGGCAGGGACAGGGAAGGCGGGCAGCGGGAGGGCACCGGGCCCCUUGUGCGCAGGGCUGCGGUCAGCUCGGAUCUUUAGGGACCCGCUGAAGCCGAGAGAGGCUGCGUUGUGCGAGCGCAAGGGCCCGGUUCUGCCCCUGAUCGCCUGCUGGAGUUCUCUUCCCGCGUUUUCUUUUUCUGUGGCUUUAAUUUCAACUUCAAAUUUUGAAAUGCGUGUUCAUUAUUUUCUUCCUUGAAUUUUAUUUUAACUGCCAGAGAUUUUUUGUUUGUUUAAAGCAGUUCUCUCUGCUAGCUAGGCGAAGAAAGGCGCUGGCCUCGGGCCUUCCAUUCGCACCUCCGCAGCCUCCGGGGCCCGUCGCUCCCUCUCCGGUUACCUCCAGAGCGCAAGCUUUCGGCCUCGGGAAGGGGAAACGUCCUCAGCGGGCAACCGGGGACUUGGGACCCAGAGAGCAGCCUCGGGCCCCGCUAUCGCCUAGAGCGGAGGGCGGCGGGGGUGGGGGUUCUCGCUUCUGGAGAAGGAUUUAUAAGGAUCUUCUAGGUCUGAGCCCUACCAGUCUGGAGAUUUCUUUUCCCGAGACUCUGAUGAGCCUGACCUUCGGCCGAACUACAGCCUGAGCCUGGCUUGGCCGGGCGCCUCCGGCGUCCCCACACCUCCCACCCUACAGUGGUAGAGGCCCGGGCUUCUGGGCACCCACCCCGAGGGUGACACUGUCUUUAAACCGCUUCCAAACAAUCCCCUCCCUCGCGGGGGCCGCUGCCCAGUGUUUACAGCGGUAAUCAGAGCGGGACGCGAGCGGCGGGAGAAGUGGAGCGCGCCGAGCGCCGGGUGGGGGCCGCGGCCGGGGAGGGGGCGGCGUCUGGGUGAGUGUCCAGAAGGGUGGGAGGGAAGGGCACGUCUGUUCUUCUCAAGACACCCCCCAUCCUGCACCUGUGUGUUCACUACCCCAGCACAAGUCGACGAAAGUGUGUGUUGGGGAGGUGGGCGCGGACCGGGAGCGUGCCAACACGUCCGGAGAUCUGCUCCUGGGCGGCGCGCCCCCCGGCACCCUCCAGGCGGGGCACUGGGGCUGUAGCCUCCCGGCGCACAGAACCUCCCACCUCGUGGGCCCGGUCGCUAGCCGCGUUCUCGAGCAACCAGGGGUGCCCGCUUUCGAUCCCCGGAGAAACGGUGGCCUCUACGGGAGGGCAUGGGCGCAGGGUACCCAGCCAAGGGCACUGUGACCCCACCCCACCCCCGCGGCUCAGGCCCUCGCUCUGCCGGCCAGCGGGCUCCGGGGAGCGCCUCAGCCUGCAGGAUGAGGAGCCGUCGCGCCCAGGCGCACGGGGGCGCGGAGCGGGAGGACAGCCGACCCGGCGGGCUGCCACCAUGCGCGGCGGCUCGGGCGGCGG